rnacentral:rRNA from 1 species
UACGUAGGGGGCAAGCGUUGUCCGGAUUUAUUGGGCGUAAAGAGCGUGUAGGCGGCCAUGUAGGUCCGUUGUGAAAACUCGAGGCUCAACCUCGAGACGCCGAUGGAAACCAUGUGGCUAGAGUCCGGAAGAGGAGAGUGGAAUUCCUGGUGUAGCGGUGAAAUGCGCAGAUAUCAGGAAGAACACCCGUGGCUAAGGCGGCUCUCUGGACCGGAUCUGACGCUGAGGCGCGAAAGCGUGGGGAGCAAACAGG